rnacentral:tRNA from 2 species
GCCCCUGUAGUUCAACGGAUAGAACGGGCGUUUCCUAAACGCUAAAUCGUGGUUCGAUUCCACGUGGGGGCG